rnacentral:rRNA from 1 species
GUGUCAGCAGCCGCGGUAAUACGGAGGGGGCUAGCGUUGUUCGGAAUUACUGGGCGUAAAGCGUACGUAGGCGGCUUUGUAAGUUAGAGGUGAAAGCCCGGGGCUCAACCCCGGAAUUGCCUUUAAGACUGCAUCGCUAGAAUCAUGGAGAGGUGAGUGGAAUUCCGAGUGUAGAGGUGAAAUUCGUAGAUAUUCGGAAGAACACCAGUGGCGAAGGCGACUCACUGGACAUGUAUUGACGCUGAGGUACGAAAGCGUGGGGAGCAAACAGGAUUAGAAACCCGCGUAGUCC